rnacentral:rRNA from 1 species
UACGUAGGGUGCAAGCGUUGUCCGGAUUUAUUGGGCGUAAAGAGCGUGUAGGCGGCUUGGUAGGUCCGCUGUGAAAACUCGAGGCUCAACCUCGAGAUGUCGGCGGAAACCACUUGGCUAGAGUCCGGAAGAGGAGAGUGGAAUUCCUGGUGUAGCGGUGAAAUGCGCAGAUAUCAGGAAGAACACCUAUGGCGAAGGCAGCUCUCUGGGACGGUACUGACGCUGAGACGCGAAAGCGUGGGGAGCGAACAGG